GUAGGAUGGAUCAUCUAGCUAAUAUUCAUCAUCAUCAUCAUCAUCCUCCACAUAGUAUGCCUCCGGGUUAACCGGCUUGAACUUCUUUCCAACCAUACUCACUCCGACAAACUCCUGUUGUUCAUUAUCAUUAUCCGCCUCAGCUUCAUCCGAUUCUCCCUUGUUACUCUGAUCUCGUUCAACGAUAGGGGUGAAUGUGGGCGCUUUUGCUUCACCAGCAACUUUUCCGGUGACUUCAUUUGCAGACAUGAUAUUGUGCACUUCACCUGAACGCCCCGGUGCUUGACCAAAACUGGUUGAAUUCAACCCACUGUCGCUAAUUUGAUUAGCUGACUUCAUUAUUGGACGGACAUCUGCUUGUACCGGAGGCACCAAGCUCUGACUAGUUGCGGUUAACUGAGGAUCGGAGUGUCCAUUAUGAAUAGAUGAGGCGGUCGGAGCUGUUGGCUCGGAUACGUAGCUGACGUGCUUCGUGGGAUCGAUGCUGGGCGAGCGUUCGAAUGUAGCCGAGGGAGCUGGAGAGUAGCCGCUGUAACUCAUUUUUAGCUGGAGAGGAAGGUUUUCCGGUGAUGUGGAUUGUGAUGAGUUUAGAGAAGUAUGUGUGUGUAUUCAUGGGAGUAAAGCAACUAUGAGAAGUCAAGGUCAACUUAACGUGAAGUCCUUUUGGAAUAGUGUCAGGCAGGUGGCCUAACACUUCUUUAUUGGACCAAAUCAAUUUUUAAUUUAAUUUUAUUUCUA
rnacentral:lncRNA from 1 species